rnacentral:rRNA from 1 species
UACGUAGGUGGCAAGCGUUGUUCGGAAUUAUUGGGCGUAAAGGGCGCGUAGGCGGCGUGGUAAGUCACUUGUGAAAUCUCUGAGCUUAACUCAGAACUGCCAAGUGAUACUGCUGUGCUCGAGUGUGGAAGGGGCAAUCGGAAUUCUUGGUGUAGCGGUGAAAUGCGCAGAUAUCAGGAGGAACACCGAUGGCGAAGGCAGGUCUCUGGGCAUUAACUGACGCUGAGGAGCGAAAGCAUGGGGAGCGAACAGG